rnacentral:ncRNA from 3 species
GCAGAGUAGGUGACCGCGCGUCAGCUCCGCAUAGCGGGGCGCAGUGCCGGCGGAACGGGGAGUUGUCCGCCGGACGAAUAACGCAGUAAUAGGCGUUUGCGGUGCGUCCAUCGAAUCCCGCUGC